AGACUUAAUAAUUAUGGACCAAUACAUAUUGACUUUCGCACUUAGUUUUCUAUGCUUAUCUCUGAUUUUAAUUCUUACCUUUUCCCAUAGUUUCUAUCUCUCCGCUCUUUCUCAGCGUUCCCUCUUUUCUUUCAUAUUCACUCAGCACUAAUUUGUAAAUUAGAGCACAACCACAGAGAAAUUGGCUUCACCUAGACAGGCUUUAAUAGACACCCAAAUAUGUUCCUGCCUCAUGUGAAGACACAAAUAUCCAAUAGAAAUCAUAGUUUUCUACCAAUCUACUGCUUUCACUAUUAAGGCCCUAUUUGGUAUUGAGGUUGGACAGCUAUAGCUUCACUAAGGAUAUGUUUGCUGCAUUGCAUUAUGGGGUAUUAAAAUACUACUCACAUUAAAUUAAUGCUAGUG
rnacentral:lncRNA from 1 species